rnacentral:lncRNA from 1 species
GCAGUGCUGCUCUGUUUGGCUCUCUUCUUAUGUGUGAAGGUUGCCCUCUUGCUAGUUAAAACCAGAAAGCUUAAGAGUCCCUCUCUAACUGCAGAGAACGUGGCUGAUGGCAAGUGUGGGGAAGUGUGGCGCCAAUGUCCCUCAUCCUGAGAGCCUCAGGGGUGGGUAUUCUCUCAUCUAAAAGAUAAAUACGUAACUGGCCUAACCUGCAAGGAUGAUGCUAGAGGCCUGGGCCUUGUCUGGAGAGAGCCACAAAUCCGAGGAAGAAGUUGACUUUCAACGUCCAGCCCUUUUGAUGUCUUACAUAGCUGGAGGCCAGUGCACUUCAGUACAUCAGUUCCUCCAGGAGUGAUCCAAAAUGGAGCGCGGGUCCUGAGCCGAGGGCUGU